rnacentral:lncRNA from 1 species
UCUCCUGCCUGUUUAGUUAUCUCGGUGGAAAACAGGAAUUCGUUUUACAUUUUAAUCUUAAUAAAAGUCUUCCUUUCGUAGGGGUCCUCUCUCAAUUAUUGCUGGGCUAAAGAUAUCCUUUGGUGAAAACGUGUUAUACUAAAUAACUUUCAUCCGAGCUAAUUUUGAGUACUUACGGAGCUGCGGAAGUCUAUUCCAUUAAAAAGAGACGAUUUUAAUAUAGAGUUUGAUGCCAUGGUGAACAGGCCACUUAAAGAUGUGUUAAAAACCAGUGUGCGAGUGGACAUCACGAUUAUACAACAAUUAGGUGAAUUUUGAAGACUGUUUGCUUUGCAAUUGGACAUUUGUCGGCGUAGGAUAAAUGUGAUUCACAGUUAUUCACAGAUUCAAAAAAGUGCUUUGUUUCAAACAACUCGACUUGAUGUGACGAGGGUAAGCUUUGGAAAGCCAAAAUUUAUUUCUCAUGAUAAUGAAGACACUGGUGGGGCCCCAUGUGAAGGUUUGAAUACGGCUGUGUUGUAACCGACGAGCUCUGAAAAUCAUCUAAAAGCUAAUGUGAUAAUUUUCGUAAUAUGUUAUUUAAGAGUUCUAAUUAAAUAGGAUGUUACACAUUAUACAGAGCUUAUUCACCCAGCUCUCUGUUAAUAUGUUCUUAGGUGGGCUCCCACUUUCUCAUGAGGUUAACCAUUAACAUCUUUAUGUGUCCUUUAAAUUUGAGAGUAGAGAUCACUCCUAAGCACAACUCUGACAAAGUCACUAUGAAUAUAAUGGUUUUAUACCUUCUCCACGCAGCUAUGAGUUAGAUAUUCUUGUACAGCGACUUGCAAUGGUAACAUUUGUAUGCAAGAAGUUUUGUGAUUUUAUUUCAUUUAAUUUCUAUUGGCUUUGGGGCUGGGGGUGUGACUUAGUUUGUAGCGUUUUCUUAACAAGUUCAAGGCCUUGGGGUUGAUCACCAGCCCUACGUAAACUUCCUGUAGUUCGUGCAUGCCUGCAUUCCCAGCUCUGAUUGGUAGAAGCAGGAGGAUCAGGAAUUCGAGGUCAUCCUGACUACCUAGAAAAUCUGAGGCUAGCCCCAGCUCCAAGAGACAGCAUCCUAAAAGGGAAAGAAAGAAAGAAGAGGCCAGCAGUUCCUCAGUUCAUUUGGAACUUCCUCAGGAAGCGCUGUGAAGGGUCUCUGUAAGGGAGCAAGUAUGUACUUGUCUCUGGAAACUAAUUCGCAUCUAACCGGUGAAUUUUGGUUUCAGUGGGGUCCUCCAGGAGAGAAGGUGUUCCGGCCCAUGUUAACCUCUCUGCGUCCUCCAUGCUGAUGAUCGCGAUGCAGUACACCUCUAACCCAGUGUAUCAUUGUCAAUUGUUGGAAUGCCUCAUGAAGUAUAAACAAGAAGUCUGGAAAGAUCUUUUGUAUGUGAUUGCCUAUGGGCCUUCCCAGGUGAAGCCUCCCGCAGUGCAGAUGCUUUUCCACUAUUGGCCCAACCUGAAGCCUCCCGGAGCAAUAAGCGAGUACAGGGGCUUACAAUACACAGGUAAGGAAGGCAGAGCUCUGUGGCGGUCGUGUCCAUCUCCCUCAUGCCGCCCGCGCCUCGCCUCGUGUUAGAAAGACCAUCUUAGAUGGUUGACAUUGCCCUUUUCGGACACUGGGCUUCAAAAGAAGUCAGCGCAGUAGUCCAGGCUCUUAGGGGAGGCUGAGGCGGGAAGAUCACUUCAGCCCUGGCAUGUAGGGAACCAUCCUAGGCAACAUAGAAAGAUCACAUCUCUUAAGAUAAUCGAGUGUGCUGCUGCACGCAUAUGGUGAUCCCGGCACUUGAGAGGUGGAGGCAGGAGGAUCAGAAGUGCGAAGUCAGUCUUGACUACAAAUCAGGUUUGACAAAGUCACUGUGGACUGUAAGAGAACCCAUUUCAAAACAAAGCAAAACACAACCCAAAGAAAAAUAAGAAAAA